AACCCUUGAUCUUAGUUGCCAUCAUUAAGUUGGGCACUUUAAGGUGACUGCCGGUGACAAACCGGAGGAAGGUGGGGAUGACGUCAAAUCAUCAUGCCCCUUAUGACCUGGGCUACACACGUGCUACAAUGGACGGUACAAAGAGCUGCAAGACCGCGAGGUGGAGCUAAUCUCAUAAAACCGUUCUCAGUUCGGAUUGUAGGCUGCAACUCGCCUACAUGAAGCUGGAAUCGCUAGUAAUCGCGGAUCAGCAUGCCGCGGUGAAUACGUUCCCGGGCCUUGUACACACCGCCCGUCACACCACGAGAGUUUGUAACACCCGAAGUCGGUGGGGUAACCUUUUUGGAGCCAGCCGCCUAAGGUGGGACAGAUGAUUGG
rnacentral:rRNA from 1 species